rnacentral:misc_RNA from 1 species
UGUGGGAGCGGGCUUGCUCGCGAUAGCGGUGUAUCAGUCGCCGAAUCUAUUGACUGAUCUAUCGCUAUCGCGAGCAAGCCCGCUCCCACA